rnacentral:rRNA from 1 species
AACGAACGCUGGCGGCAGGCUUAACACAUGCAAGUCGAACGCCCCGCAAGGGGAGUGGCAGACGGGUGAGUAACGCGUGGGAAUCUACCCAUCCCUACGGAACAACUCCGGGAAACUGGAGCUAAUACCGUAUACGCCCUUAGGGGGAAAGAUUUAUCGGGGAUGGAUGAGCCCGCGUUGGAUUAGCUAGUUGGUGGGGUAAAGGCCUACCAAGGCGACGAUCCAUAGCUGGUCUGAGAGGAUGAUCAGCCACAUUGGGACUGAGACACGGCCCAAACUCCUACGGUAGGCAGCCGGGAGGAAUAUUGGACAAUGGGCGUAACCCUGAUCAAGCCAUGCCGCAUGAGUGAUGAAGGCCUUAGGGUUGUAAAGCUCUUUCACCGAUGAAGAUAAUGACGGUAGUCGGAGAAGAAGCCCCGGCUAACUUCGUGCCAGACGCCGCCGUAA